GACGAACGCUGGCGGCGUGCUUAACACAUGCAAGUCGAACGGAAAGGCUCCAGCUUGCUGGAGUACUCGAGUGGCGAACGGGUGAGUAACACGUGGGUAAUCUGCCCUGCACUCUGGGAUAAGCCUGGGAAACUGGGUCUAAUACUGGAUAUGACCUUUCUCCUUAUGGGGUUUGGUGAAAAGUUUUUCGGUGUAGGAUGAGCCCGCGGCCUAUCAGCUUGUUGGUGGGGUGAUGGCCUACCAAGGCGACGACGGGUAGCCGGCCUGCGAGGGUGAUCGGCCACAUUGGGACUGAGAUACGGCCCAGACUCCUACGGGAGGCAGCAGUGGGGAAUAUUGCACAAUGGGCGGAAGCCUGAUGCAGCGACGCCGCGUGAGGGAUGACGGCCUUCGGGUUGUAAACCUCUUUCAGCAGGGACGAAGCGUAAGUGACGGUACCUGCAGAAGAAGCACCGGCUAACUAUGU
rnacentral:rRNA from 1 species